UAAUACCGCGUACAUUUCCAGUACCUGGGUAAGGAAAAAAAGCUGCGUCGUGGACGUGGCGCUCGAAGAGGGGCUCAUGGCCAAUCAGCCUGUUGGUAGGGUAACGCCCUACCAAGGCAUCGACGGGUACCUGGUCUGAGAGGACGAUCAGCCACACUGGCACUGAGACACGCGCCAGACUCCUACGGGAGGCAGCAGUGAUGAAUAUUGCGCAAUGGGCGAAAGCCUGACGCAGCGACGCCGCGUGGGGGAAGAAGGUCUUCGGAUUGUAAACCCCUUUCAGGAGGAAAGAUGGGGUGGGUAACCACUCGGACGGUACCUCCAGAAGAAGCCACGGCUAACUUCGUGCCAGCAGCCGCGGUAAUACGAAGGUGGCGAGCGUUGUUCGGAUUUACUGGGCGUAAAGAGCACGUAGGCGGUUUGGUAAGCCCCUUGGGAAAGCUCCAGGCUUAACCUGGAAAGGUCGAGGGGGACUGCCAGGCUAGAGGACGGGAGAGGAGCGCGGAAUUCCCGGUGUAGCGGUGAAAUGCGUAGAUAUCAGGAGGAAGGCC
rnacentral:rRNA from 1 species